AUGUGUGUUCUCAGCAAGAUUAUAACUGACCAUCAGGUGAUCAGGAGGUGUCUGUUUGUUUGCGCAGUCUCCAAUGCCACCAGGCUCCAGUGUACCAGUGAUGAUCUACAAGCGUUAACACAGAUGAAGAUGCCCUCAUCAGAGUGGAGCUCAGCUUCUUUGCACGUACCUACUUGUAGCUCAGGUGCCCAGCUGGGGACCACAGGUUUAUUCAGGUUCCCUCAUAAUGAAAGAACACGAAGAGGCAUCAUCAGAGAGAUGAUGAUGCCUCUUCGUGUUCUUUCAUUAUGUUUAACCUCAGAUGAACAGAAUCACCCUGCAGAGGGCAUGGCUCGCUCUUAUAACAGUGCAAGUCUGAGAAUGCCUGGCUUCCUGGCUUAGGCACCUCAGUCAGCUGCCUAGCAGUAAGGGAACAAGCUCCCACAGAAUAAUCCCCUGAGUCAGGCCUUCUGCUGCACUGGCAUCUUUUUCUCCUCAUAGUGGUGGUUCAUUUCUGGAAACAGGAAGAAAAUUCAGUCAUGUAUUGGAUCAUAUUUCAGAGUGUUUUUGCACAAUAUUCACUAUUUGUACAGGCUUUUGACGUGAACGCUGACUGCAUGAAGCAUUUAUCACAGUGGCUACAGAACUACCCUAAGAAUAGACUGCUGGGUGAGUCCAGCAGCAGGAGAAGAUUGAGCAAUAUUCAUUUGUCAUGCACCAGCCCUGGGACAGAGUCUGUGGCCAGGCACCUAAUACAGCACAUUUUCCUAAGCUGCAAUAUUGUGUUUGUGUGACAAAACAAGUUUAAAAUUGCUGUGAAAACUAGCCAGAAAUUUGUGAUGGUAAUCCAAAUGCAGCAUUGCAUGCUGCUGUUGCAAAACCAAACCUAAAUUAGCUUGAAGACAGGGCAAAGAUAUUCUGUAUGAGUUAUAUCCCAUGCACGGCAGUUUAAUAAUCCUCUUUGCCUGUGUUUAGAUUAAAAUUAGUACUGUGAAGACUUCCAGCCCAGCAAGAAACUCAAUACACCGCACUGAACUCGCGAACUCUAGGCAUGUUGUACCAGCACCCGUGAUCUCUGUGUCCUGUGGUUGUACAGGCCUUAAAGCAUUAGACUUCAGAAGAAAAAAUUCACCAUUAUAGACAAUCACAUAUAAUUAAACUUCACAGAACAAAAGUUUAAACAGUAAAGGGAACAAAUGAUCCACCCAAGUACAACAUUUAUUUCUGGAACGGCUGUUACCCUUACAAACACAUUUAGCCAUAAUGGGAAAAUUAUCUUGCAAAUGUCUAAUAAGAUUGUGUGUAUUUAAAUUUAUGCUGUAUUUAAUUUAGUUCUGCUCAUAACUGUUGUUGUGAGUCACUCAAAAGGUCCUUACACGUGGGAAAUCUUUUGUAUAAUUAAAAGAGCUAACAAUGCAAAACCCACAAGCCCCAAAUCCCUUGCAGCUUAAAGCCAAGUCCAUUUCUUAUGGUAAAUAUUUCUAUGCUAGUAAACCAUGACAUCACCCUCAGAGAGCUGCAAAUUAGAAAAUUUAUACCAAAUGCUUCCUCCAUAGAAAUUCAAACAGUGAGCCAAUCAGCUACACCGCAGCUGGCAUAAUUAGCAGUAGCUAAUGCCAUCACCAGCAGGUAUAGUUUUAUAGUAAACUUUCCCUUUUGGUCCUGAAAGGUACUAGAUUAAUUUGUACUGAUAAAUAUUUCUCAGAAAAUCAAGUGCUAAUUGGACAGUGGUGUCACUGAUAAAGAGCUUAAAGGAGCUGGUGUAUUGCUCUGUUGGUCCAUUUACCCAUCCUCAUAGCCUGAAAGGUAUUGCUGUAAUAGACAAGGGAAUUCUGGUUGUGCAGGACAGAAUGCUGACUCCAAGGCAACAAAACAGAUUUGUUUCAGCAUUUUCUAUUAAAAAGUGCUAUUUAUGUUUUCCUUUUCCUUUAUUUUUUAUUUUUCCAAGUAAAUUCACAAAGACUCAAACCUAAGACCUGCCUCAUUCUGGUAGGGACUUUCACAGAAUGCAGUACCAGAAUGCUUCAGGAAAAAAAAACAAAAUUGAAUAAUACUGAAUAAUACAGCCAUAAUAAAGCUGUCCUCUUCAAGUCUAUGUCUUUCA
rnacentral:lncRNA from 1 species